UGGGGAAUUUUGGACAAUGGGCGAAAGCCUGAUCCAGCAAUGCCGCGUGUGUGAAGAAGGCCUUCGGGUUGUAAAGCACUUUUGUCCGGAAAGAAAUCCUUGGCUCUAAUACAGUCGGGGGAUGACGGUACCGGAAGAAUAAGCACCGGCUAACUACGUGCCAGCAGCCGCGGUAAUACGUAGGGUGCAAGCGUUAAUCGGAAUUACUGGGCGUAAAGCGUGCGCAGGCGGUUUGCUAAGACCGAUGUGAAAUCCCCGGGCUCAACCUGGGAACUGCAUUGGUGACUGGCAGGCUAGAGUAUGGCAGAGGGGGGUAGAAUUCCACGUGUAGCAGUGAAAUGCGUAGAGAUGUGGAGGAAUACCGAUGGCGAAGGCAGCCCCCUGGGCCAAUACUGACGCUCAUGCACGAAAGCGUGGGGAGCAAACAGGAUUAGAUACCCUGGUAGUCCACGCCCUAAACGAUGUCACUAGUUGUUGGGGAUUCAUUCUAGUAACGUAGCUAACGCGUGAAGUUGACCGCCUGGGGAGUACGGUCGCAAGAUU
rnacentral:rRNA from 1 species